CUCAGGACGAACGCUGGCGGCGCGCCUAACACAUGCAAGUCGAACGGAGCUGUUUUCUCUGAAGUUUUCGGAUGGAAGAGAGUUCAGCUUAGUGGCGAACGGGUGAGUAACACGUGAGCGACCUGCCUUUCAGUGGGGGACAACAUUUGGAAACGAAUGCUAAUACCGCAUAAGACACAGUGUCGCAUGGCACAGGGGUCAAAGGAUUUAUCCGCUGAAAGAUGGGCUCGCGUCCGAUUAGCUAGAUGGUGAGGUAACGGCCCACCAUGGCGACGAUCGGUAGCCGGACUGAGAGGUUGAACGGCCACAUUGGGACUGAGACACGGCCCAGACUCCUACGGGAGGCAGCAGUGGGGAAUAUUGCACAAUGGGGGAAACCCUGAUGCAGCGACGCCGCGUGGAGGAAGAAGGUCUUCGGAUUGUAAGCUCCUGUCCCAGGGGACGAUAAUGACGGUACCCUGGGAGGAAGCACCGGCUAACUACGUGCCAGCAGCCGCGGUAAAACGUAGGGUGCAAGCGUUGUCCGGAAUUACUGGGUGUAAAGGGAGCGCAGGCGGAUUGGCAAGUUGGGAGUGAAAUCUAUGGGCUCAACCCAUAAAUUGCUUUCAAAACUGUCAGUCUUGAGUGGUGUAGAGGUAGGCGGAAUUCCCGGUGUAGCGGUGGAAUGCGUAGAUAUCGGGAGGAACACCAGUGGCGAAGGCGGCCUACUGGGCACUAACUGACGCUGAGGCUCGAAAGC
rnacentral:rRNA from 1 species